GAUGAACGCUGGCGGCGUGCCUAAUACAUGCAAGUCGAGCGAAUGGAUUAAGAGCUUGCUCUUAUGAAGUUAGCGGCGGACGGGUGAGUAACACGUGGGUAACCUGCCCAUAAGACUGGGAUAACUCCGGGGAACCGGGGCUAAUACCGGAUAACAUUUUGAACCGCAUGGUUCGAAAUUGAAAGGCGGCUUCGGCUGUCACUUAUGGAUGAACCCGCGUCGCAUUAGCCAGUUGGUGAGGUAACGGCUCACCAAGGCAACGAUGCGUAGCCGACCUGAGAGGGUGAUCGGCCACACUGGGACUGAGACACGGCCCAGACUCCUACGGGAGGCAGCAGUAGGGAAUCUUCCGCAAUGGACGAAAGUCUGACGGAGCAACGCCGCGUGAGUGAUGAAGGCUUUCGGGUCGUAAAACUCUGUUGUUAGGGAAGAACAAGUGCUAGUUGAAUAAGCUGACACCUUGACGGUACCUAACCAGAAAGCCACGGCUAACUACGUGCCAGCCGCCGCAGUAA
rnacentral:rRNA from 1 species